UGAAAAUAAUUACAGUUGACAUUUCC
rnacentral:piRNA from 1 species